GGAGUGGGCCAGACAAUCGCGGGGGCGGAGACGCCCAUGAGGAAAGUCCGGGCUCCACAGGGCAGGAAGCAGGCUAACGGCCUGGCGGGGUGACCCGACGGAAAGCGCCGCAGAAAAGAAGACUCCCGCUGCCCGCCUCGGCGGGUGAGAGAAAAGCUGAAACGGUGGUGUAAGAGACCACCAGCGUCGUGGCAACACGGCGGCUUGGCAAGCCCCUUCCGGAGCAAACGCAAAUAGGAGCGCCAUGGUGUGGCCCGCACCGCGCUCGGGUUGCGCGCUAGAGGCCGUCGGUGACGGCGGUCGUAGAUAAAUGAUUGUCCACGACAGAACCCGGCUCACAGGCCCACUUCGCAU
rnacentral:RNase_P_RNA from 2 species